AUUGAACGCUGGCGGCGUGCCUUACACAUGCAAGUCGGACGAGUGGCGAACGGGUGAGUAACGCAUGGGAACCUGCCGGAUAGUGGGGGAUAACUGCCGGAAACGGUAGCUAAUACCGCAUACUAUCAGAGGGGCCCAUGUUGGAUUAGCUGGUUGGCGGGGUAACGGCCCACCAAGGCGACGAUCCCUAGCUGGUCUGAGAGGAUGAACAGCCACACUGGAACUGAGACACGGCCCAGACUCCUACGGGAGGCAGCAGUGGGGAAUAUUGGACAAUGGGCGCAAGCCUGAUGCAGCCAUGCCGCGUGUCUGAAGAAGGCCUUCGGGUUGUAAAGGACUUUUGUCGGGGAAGCGUUACCUGCAGAAGAAGCACCGGCUAACUCCGUGCCAGCCGCCGCGGUAAUUC
rnacentral:rRNA from 1 species